GUCAAAUCCGGUUGUCGAUAAGGGGCCUCUCAAGACCAAAACGACCUUUAGGGAGGGUUAUAUUAAUAGGCUUGGUCUCCGGAGAUAUCUUUUAUCAAGGAGGUCUGUACCCGAGGUACACAAGAGGGGUCAACCAAUGAAGUACUGCAUUUACCUGAGACAUCUAACACUAGGAGGGGGAGGGCGAUCUGGGACAAAAUAGCUGAGUGGUGAUCUUUCGAACCAUCGGAUGAAGUCCCUGAUUUACUAUCUCCGGAUCAUCAUGUCAGGAAGCUCGUUAUCUUCAUUCAAUGUUGGAAGUUUGUCAUCUUCAAUGUCGGAAGUUUGUUAUCUUCAGUAUUGGCAAGUAGGUGCUUAAUAAAAGAUACCUAUUUGAGGAAUUGUAUCUCUUAGUGCUGUAGUAGUAAUACAGAAAAAUCCAAAUGCUGCUAGCUGUCUGCUGCAGCUUGGAUUUGUGUAAGCUUCUACGUAUAUAUUUUGUGAAUCUAAGUUUGAGUUCCAUGAGUCUGUCAAUGUAUCGUGCCUAUGUUU